rnacentral:rRNA from 1 species
GUGGGGAAUUUUGCGCAAUGGGGGAAACCCUGACGCAGCGACGCCGCGUGGAGGACGAAGGCCUUCGGGUUGUAAACUUCUUUUAUAGGGGAAGAUAGUGACGGUACCCUAUGAAUAAGCCACGGCUAACUCUGUGCCAGCAGCCGCGGUAAGACAGAGGUGGCAAGCGUUGUUCGGAAUUACUGGGCUUAAAGGGCGCGUAGGCGGCGAUGUAAGUCUGAUGUGGAAUCCUGCGGCUCAACCGCAGAAUUGCAUUGGAAACUGUGUUGCUUGAGUCAGCGAGGGGAGGGCGGAAUUCCUGGUGUAGCAGUGAAAUGCGUAGAUAUCAGGAGGAAGGCCGGUGGCGAAGGCGGCCCUCUGGCGCUUGACUGACGCUGAGGCGCGAAAGCGUGGGGAGCAAACAGGAUUAGAUACCCGGGUAGUCC